UACAGAGGGGGCAAGCGUUGUUCGGAAUUACUGGGCGUAAAGGGCGCGUAGGCGGCUCGCUAAGUCGGACGUGAAAGCCCCGGGCUCAACCCGGGAACUGCGUCCGAUACUGGCAGGCUUGAAUCCGGGAGAGGGAUGCGGAAUUCCAGGUGUAGCGGUGAAAUGCGUAGAUAUCUGGAGGAACACCGGUGGCGAAGGCGGCAUCCUGGACCGGCAUUGACGCUGAGGCGCGAAAGCCAGGGGAGCAAACGGG
rnacentral:rRNA from 1 species